UGCCCCGUGGUGUAGAGGUAGCACAAGGGACUUUGGAUCCUUUAGCCCAGGUUCGAAUCCUGGCGGGGCAGCCA
rnacentral:tRNA from 1 species